GACAGAGGGUGCAAACGUUGUUCGGAAUUACUGGGCGUAAAGCGAGUGUAGGCGGCCUUGUAAGUCGGGUGUGAAAGCCCUGGGCUCAACCCAGGAAGUGCACUCGAUACUGCGAGGCUUGAGUAUCGGAGAGGUUGGUGGAAUUCUCGGUGUAGAGGUGAAAUUCGUAGAUAUCGAGAGGAACACCGGUGGCGAAGGCGGCCAACUGGACGAAUACUGACGCUGAGACUCGAAAGCGUGGGGAGCAAAC
rnacentral:rRNA from 1 species